rnacentral:lncRNA from 1 species
GGAUUUUUAAACCUUGUUGAAGGAGAAAGACAAAUUCAAACCUGGAUCUAAGGUAGAAGAAAAUUAAGGGUUGUUUAAGAACAAGUGGAGUGGCAGCAAAAGCUGCGUUUCUGUUACUGAACAGCUCGUCUAGCGAGAAGCAUCAUCGCCUAGCGAGGACAGCAGCGUGCUCUUCCUGUGUGUGUUGUUCUUUCCCCUAUCCAACCAUUCUUGAUCAUAGGUAAGCAAACUCAAGCUCUUUUCCUUCUCUCCAGGAUUAUUCUAUUCUUUUGGUGUUAGAAAUAUCACUAAUCCCAUUCACUAAUUUGUCUCUUAUGUCUGCAGCUUCACAUUGAGUAGGGUACUGUGCUCCCCCACCCCCAAAAAAAAAGAGACUGCAAUUAGGAGCGAGGCCGGGUUUCUCUCUUAUUUGACGUUGUACAUUGUUUAGCUUAAGUUUUGGUAAGUUGCUAUAUAGGAGCUCUUAGAUCUUGCGAACUGUCUUGAUUUUGAUGACAAUAUUAGUGAUGCA